UACGGAGGGUGCAAGCGUUAAUCGGAAUUACUGGGCGUAAAGCGUGCGUAGGUGGUUCGUUAAGUCCGUUGUGAAAGCCCCGAGCUCAACUUGGGAAUUGCAGUGGAUACUGGCGGGCUGGAGUGCGGUAGAGGAAGGUGGAAUUCCCGGUGUAGCGGUGAAAUGCGUAGAGAUCGGGAGGAACACCAGUGGCGAAGGCGGCCUUCUGGACCAGCACUGACACUCAAGCACGAAAGCGUGGGGAGCAAACAGG
rnacentral:rRNA from 1 species